rnacentral:tRNA from 1 species
GGCCAGUUAGCUCAGUCGGUUGAGCGUGGUACCGAUAACACCAAGGUCAUGGGUUCGAUCCCCGUUCCGUCCC